UUGAUAUUUCACCUUCGUUUCUUAUUAGCUACUUUGUUUCUGGGUUGCGGGUAGAUAUUGGAAGUGAGGUUCUUGCGUUCAGUCCCGCUUCUUUGGCCCAAGCUUUUGGGAUGGCUAGGGUCCAAAAAGCCAAGUUGCUGGAAUCAGCUCAUGCCUCUUUCCGACCUACAUCAUUCAAAGGUAUUUUACCUACUCCGCCAUUACCUGCCCUUCCUCCUCCUUCGUCAAAUCCACAAUGAAUUCCUAUUAGACGUUUGUCAUCAGACGAGAUGCAGUCGUGUCGCGAGAAGGGUCUUUAUUUAAAUUGUGAUGAGAAAUUCAAUCCUGGUCAGUGAUGCAAGAACCGCCAACUCUUCUUACUUACCUACUCCGAUGAAGCUGCUACAGUUGAAAUUCUGGUGGAUGACCCGUCGAUUGUGUCUCAGGAUUCUUUCUUGGCAGGCUCAUACCCUUCGUCAAGCAUUUCGUAUCAUGCGCUCAACGGUCAGUUGUCACUUACCACCCUUCGAUUGCAGGGAACUAUUGCGGGAUCGUCGAUAUCUAUUCUUGUUGAUGGGGGGUAGCACCCAUAAUUUCCUACAAAACAAUGUGGCUGUUCAUCUGGGUUUGACGGUCACAGCGUCCCAUGAAUAAUUGUCUUUGCUGAAAAUGGAGAAUGCUUAAUGAGUGACGGCAACAUCCAAAAUCUACCACUCACCAUUGUCAAUUAUGCUUUUUUGGUCGAUUUCUUUGUUCUUCCCUUGUUCGGCGCAAAUGUCAUAUUAGGGGUACAAUGGUUGGCUCAGCUCGGACUAGUGGUGUUCGACUAUAAUAAGUUGACACUGGAGUUUACUCACGGCGACACUCCGAUUACAUUGGCAGGGGAUGCACUUGCAAACCCUUCUUUGUUGCAGCUUCAUCAGGUCCGGCGGCUUGUGGUUACAGGGUCUGUUGUUGAACUAUAUCAUCUCUGUAUAGUCCAUACUCCUUCCCUCACCAACUGUUUGUGAUAAUGUCGACUUGAGUGAUCUUCUUCAAUCCUUUUCCUUGGAGUUUGAUGUACCACAGGGAUUGCCACCAUCUAGGCCUAAAGACCAUGCCAUUCACCUCCAAUCUGGUUCCCAUACUAUCAAUGUGAAACCUUACGGGUAUCCACAUUUUCAAAAAUCUGAAAUUGAGCGGCUGGUUGCGAAAAUGUUGGGCGAAAGAUUUAUUCGACCAAGCAUCAGUCCAUUUUCUUCUAUUGUCCUCCUUGUCAAGAAGAAGGAUGGAACUUGGCCAUUUUGUGUCGACUAUCGCGCUCUCAAUGCCAUUACUAUCCAAGAUCGCUUUCCCAUUCCAACAGUAGACGAGAUGCUCGAGGAAUUACAUGGUGCUCAGUUCUUUUCUAAGCUUGACUUACGUGUAGGUUACCAUCAGAUUUGUGUCCAUCUAGAGGAUGUUUCGAAGAUGGUGUUUCGCACUCAUGAUGGGCAUUUUUAAUUUUUGGUAAUUCCUUUUGGAUUAACAAAUGCUCCAUCUACAUUUCAGGUCACAUAUCAAUUCAUGGCUAUUUCUGGAUCGGUAUUUGACUUCUUUCCUUAAUUGCGCUCCGAGCAACAGAGCAACUCAGAACUUCAGCUCCUCUGUCAACAGUUGAUGGCUAAUCCUUCUUAAUUUCCUGAUUAUACAUUUCAAGAAGGUCUUCUUUAUUUUAGGCAAUGCCUUGUAGUGCCUUUUGAUUCAUCUUUUUGUACCAAAUUUAUGGAAGUAUCACACACCGUUGGGUGGCCAUGCUGGUUCUUUCGUACGUUUGCUCAGCUGGUUGUAACUUUUUUUGGAAGGGAAUGCGGUAGCAACUUAAGCAUUUGAUAACUCAUUUGUUUGGUUUGCCAACAGGUUAAGGUUGUUAACACUUCCCCUGUUGGUCUCCUCCAACCACUUCCAAUUUUAGAUUAGGUUUGGGAGAUAUCGCCAUGGAUUUUUUCACCAAACUACCUAUUUCCUAUUAGACCACUCUCUAGAUCUGACCAAUCAUCUCAUGACCAACAGCCACAUGGGAAAGGUGUCACGUAGGCUUUGUUUUGUGAUUAGUAAUUAGAGUUAGACAGUUGUACCUGUUUAGUUGUAAAUCUUCUUUUAAUCAUUCCUGUAAUCUCUUCUUGUAAUCUUAAUCACAUUUUAUAUAUAAAAGAGAUUAUUUCAGGGGUUUCUCUCAUAUAAGAGAGAACUCGUCUUCAAAUUCUGUCAUGGUAUCAGAGUAGUAGUAGAGAAAACUUCUCUCGAGCGAAGAAGACAGCAAUGGCGAGUUCCAGUGUCUCAUUUCCUUAUCCAAGCUCCCUGAAUGUGGCGAAUUUUUUGACAAUAAAGCUCACACUGGAAAACUUCCUUCUAUGGGAAACACAGGUUCUCUCGCUGAUCGAGAGUCAAGAUUUGAUCGAGUUCGUGAAUGGAGUGUCCUUCACCGAAUUGAGAGAUCAAGAACGCUGAUGGGAAGACGCUCGUGAAUCCAGACUUUAUGUCAUGGAUUCAGACAGAUCGCCUGGUUAAAGCUUGGAUCACUGGAACAUUAUCGGAGGAGGUUCUUGGAUUGGUAGUCAGAGUCAAGACGUCCUUCGAGCUAUGGAAUACUUUGGCCGAAGCUUUUUCCCAAGCCUCAGAAGCUCGUGAGUUUGAGCUUUUAUCCAAGCUACACUUUCUCAAGAAGAAAAAUUCAAUUCCUCUUUCCAUCU